AAAUUGAAGAGUUUGAUCAUGGCUCAGAUUGAACGCUGGCGGCAGGCCUAACACAUGCAAGUCGAACGGUAACAGAAAGCAGCUUGCUGCUUUGCUGACGAGUGGCGGACGGGUGAGUAAUGUCUGGGAAACUGCCUGAUGGAGGGGGAUAACUACUGGAAACGGUAGCUAAUACCGCAUAACGUCGCAAGACCAAAGAGGGGGACCUUCGGGCCUCUUGCCAUCGGAUGUGCCCAGAUGGGAUUAGCUUGUUGGUGGGGUAACGGCUCACCAAGGCGACGAUCCCUAGCUGGUCUGAGAGGAUGACCAGCCACACUGGAACUGAGACACGGUCCAGACUCCUACGGGAGGCAGCAGUGGGGAAUAUUGCACAAUGGGCGCAAG
rnacentral:rRNA from 1 species